rnacentral:rRNA from 1 species
UACGGGGGGGGCAAGCGUUGUUCGGAAUUACUGGGCGUAAAGGGCUCGUAGGCGGCCAACUAAGUCGGACGUGAAAUCCCCAGGCUCAACCUGGGAACUGCGUCCGAUACUGGAUGGCUUGAAUCCGGGAGAGGGAUGCAGAAUUCCAGGUGUAGCGGUGAAAUGCGUAGAUAUCAGGAGGAACACCGGUGGCGAAGGCGGUUCUCUGGGCAUUACCUGACGCUGAGGAGCGAAAGUGUGGGGAGCGAACAGG